GUGCACUUCGGUAGCACGCCUACGAAAACUGGCAUGAUACAGGGAUAAGCAUGGCCUCUGCAUAAGGAGGACAGUGCAGAUGUAGUGAAGUGCUCCCUAUUUUA